GGCCGGAGCGCGUGCGGGGGGCAGGUCUGCAGUGCCGCUUCCCCUGGUACGAGGAGCAGUCGCCGCCGCUGCCGCCUCAGCCCCGAGGCUGGACCCCCCUCCCUUACCCGGGGACUCCCUGACCCGGGGAAGCCAGCUCAGGUCUCCAAAGGCUUCAGGAAGGGAAACAGGCAAUCCUCCCCAAAAUACCGUGGCUUCUCAGUUUAGCCUCUCUAACCUGGCUCCCCCUUCCCACCCCAUCCUCCUCCUCCCCCUUUCCCUCCCACACUCCCCGUCUUGAACCGGGUGCAGAACAAAGGUCUUUCUUCCCUUCUCCUUCUGGACCUCACUGGCCGGGCCCUAGUUCCUCUUAUUCUGAGCCCAAAAGAUAUUGGAACACAUUUCAUCCGAAGAGGGGGGUCUUCUUGACCCCACAAGCCGUUGAGCGAAAGGCCCAAGGG